rnacentral:rRNA from 1 species
UACGUAGGGUGCAAGCGUUGUCCGGAAUUAUUGGGCGUAAAGAGCUCGUAGGCGGUCUGUCGCGUCUGCUGUGAAAACUCGGGGCUUAACCCCGGGCCUGCAGUGGGUACGGGCAGACUAGAGUGCGGUAGGGGAGACUGGAAUUCCUGGUGUAGCGGUGAAAUGCGCAGAUAUCAGGAGGAACACCCGUAGCGAAGGCGGCACUCUGGGCCGGAACUGACGCUGAGGAGCGAAAGCGUGGGGAGCGAACAGG